rnacentral:ncRNA from 1 species
CUUUUUGAGAGUUUGAUCCUGGCUCAGGAUGAACGCUGGCGGCGUGUCUAAGGCAUGCAAGUCGAAUGCCGGAAGUCAGAUUUCAGAUUUCGGAUGUCAGAUUUCGGAUUAGUCUAAUUUCUGAUAUCCGAUUUCCGAAAUCUGAAAUCUGACUUCCGGCAUGGCAAACGGGAGCGUAACACAUUGGUAACCUAUCUCGAGGUCAUGAAUAAGCCUGCGAAAGCGGGUCUAAUACAUGAUGGAAGCGGGGGGACAAAAGUCAUUCCCACUUAAAGCUCCGACGCCUCGAGAAGAGCCUAUGUCCUAUCAGCUAGUUGGUGAGGUAAUGGCUCACCAAGGCAACGACGGGUAGCGGGUGUGAGAGCAUGGCCCGCCUCACUGGGACUGAGACACUGCCCAGACUCCUACGGGAGGCUGCAGUCAAGAAUAUUCCUCAAUGGCCGCAAGGCUGAAGGAGCGACGCCGCGUGCAUGAAGAAGCCCUUCGGGGUGUAAAGUGCUUUUGUAUAGGAAAAAGUCUGCGCUUUUUAGAUGUUAAUUUAUUAUUACUUUAUUUAAUAAAAAUUAAACGAGUUAUAAGUUAUUGGUUAUAGGUUAUUAGUGAGAUAAAAAAUUUUAUAACUUAUAACAUAUAACCUAUAACUCG